UACGUAGGGUGCGAGCGUUGUCCGGAAUUAUUGGGCGUAAAGAGCUCGUAGGCGGUCUGUCGCGUCUGCUGUGAAAUCCCGAGGCUCAACCUCGGGCCUGCAGUGGGUACGGGCAGACUAGAGUGCGGUAGGGGAGAUUGGAAUUCCUGGUGUAGCGGUGAAAUGCGCAGAUAUCGGGAGGAACACCGGUGGCGAAGGCGGCGACCUGGGUAGAUACUGACGCUGAGGUGCGAAAGCGUGGGGAGCAAACAGG
rnacentral:rRNA from 1 species